rnacentral:rRNA from 1 species
GACAGAGGCCUCAAGCGUUAGGCGGAAUCACUGGGCUUAAAGCGUGUGUAGGCGGAUCGUUAAGUGUCUUGUGAAAUCCCACGGCUCACCCGUGGAACGGCUGGGCAUACUGGCGAUCUUGGGCCAACUAGGGGCAACUGGAACAAGCGGUGGAGCGGUGAAAUGCGUAGAUAUCGCUUGGAACGCCCGAAGGUGAAAACAGGUUGCUGGGGUUGUGCCGACGCUGAGACACGAAAGCCAGGGGGAGCAAACGGGG